GAUAUACUCCCUCCGUUCGGAAUUACUUGUCCCAGAAAUGGAUGUAUCUAGAUACUAAAAUACAUCUAGAUACAUCCAUUUUCGAGACAAGUAAUUCCGAACAGAGGGAGUAGAUG
rnacentral:pre_miRNA from 1 species